UACGUAGGUGGCAAGCGUUGUCCGGAUUUAUUGGGUUUAAAGGGUGCGUAGGCGGCUUUGUAAGUCAGUGGUGAAAUAUGGCAGCUUAACUGUCAAGGUGCCAUUGAUACUGCGGAGCUUGAGUACAGAUGAGGUAGGCGGAAUUGACGGUGUAGCGGUGAAAUGCUUAGAUAUCGAGUCGAAGAACACCUAUAGCGAAGGCAGCUUACUAGGCUGUAACUGACGCUGAGGCACGAAAGUGUG
rnacentral:rRNA from 1 species